CUACGGAGGAUCCAAGCGUUAUCCGGAUUUAUUGGGUUUAAAGGGUGCGUAGGCGGGAGAUUAAGUCGGUGGUGAAAUUUUGCAGCUCAACUGUAAAAGUGCCAUUGAUACUGGUUUCCUUGAGUGUGGAUGAAGUAGGCGGAAUUUGUGGUGUAGCGGUGAAAUGCAUAGAUAUCACGAGGAACUCCGAUUGCGCAGGCAGCUUACUAAACCAUAACUGACGCUCAGGCACGAAGGCGUGGGGAUCAAACAGGAUUAGAUACCCUGGUAGUCCACGCAGUAAACUAUGAUUACUCGCUGUUUGCGAUACACAGCAAGCGGCUUAGCGAAAGCGUUAAGUAAUCCACCUGGGGAGUACGUUCGCAAGAAUGAAACUCAAAUGAAUUGACGGGG
rnacentral:rRNA from 1 species